rnacentral:rRNA from 1 species
UCUUUAUGGCAAAUGUGAGAUGCAGUGUAUGGAAUGUCAAAUUUCUAGUAUGAGAAAUUAACGAUUUAAGUCCUUCUUAAAUGAGGCCAUUUACCCAUAGAGGGUGCCAGGCCCGUAUAACGUUAAUGAUUACUAGAUGGCAUUUCCAAAGAGUCGUGUUGCUUGAUAGUGCAGCACUAAGUGGGUGGUAAACUCCAUCUAAAACUAAAUAUAACCAUGAGACCGAUAGUAAACAAGUACCGUGAGGGAAAGUUGAAAAGAACUCUGAAUAGAGAGUUAAAUAGUACGUGAAACUGCUUAGAGGUUAAGCCCGAUGAACCUGAAUAUCCAUUAUAGAAAAUUCAUCAUUAUGAUUUUAAUAUUUAUAAUAUUAUAAUAAUGGUGUGCAUUUUUUCUAUAACGGACAUUGUAAUCUAUUAACAUAAAUAUAUUUAUCAUAAGAUCAAUGAUGCGUAAGUUUAUUCAAAUUAUUUUGCUUGCAAUUUAACAUAGAAUAAAUGCUCUUGAUUUGAUAAAGUGUUGAUAGAUUUAUUGUAUAUAGUGCUUAAAUAUUUAUAUUUUAUAAUAGCAUAUUAAUCAUUGAUUUUUAUGUUUAUUAUAUGCACUUAUAUGAUUAACAAUGCGAAAGAUUCAGGAUACCUUCGGGACCCGUCUUGAAACACGGACCAAGGAGUCUAACAUAUUUGCAAGUUAUUGGGUAUCAAAACCUAAUAGCGAAAUUAACAUAACUUUAAUGGGAUUAGUUUUUAGAUUAUUUAUAGUCUAUUAAUUCAAUCCCGGGGCGUUCUAUAUAGUUAUGUAUAAUAAUAUUUAUAUUAUUUAUACCUCUAACUAGAGCGUACCUUGAGCAUAUAUGCUGUGACCCGAAAGAUGGUGAACUAUACUUGAUCAGGUUGAAGUCAGGGGAAACCCUGAUGGAAGACCGAAACAGUUCUGACGUGCAAAUCGAUGUCAGAA